UUAUCGAAUAUUGCAUAAAAAUCAUAUAAAAGGAUUGUUGACUAGUCACUUGUUUAUUUUGCAGAAAAGUGCGAUAAGGCACAAAACUCUUCUACUACAAAUGAUCAAGUGAUGGAGUCAAGGAGCUGAGCGUGAAGGAAAGAAGUAACCGAGGGGCCAAACUAAAGAUGGGAGGACCAACUUGGGAAGAAAGAAGGAAGAAGGAGGGCCAAUGUGAAAACGUUUAGAUCUGAUCGGGAGGGGAUCAAAAUCCCUAGCCGCAUCUCCAUUGCAAUCGAGCCUGGCAUCUCCAUCUCUCUCCCCCUCACCACUUCUUCUCCCACCUCCGGCCGCCGCCGCGGCCAGGCCAUCGUGGCGGCGCGCCUCCGCGACCUCGCUCCACCAUCACCCGCGCCAUCCACCACCCACACCAUCAUCUAUCCAUCACAGCGCCAGCCACCAGUGCCCACCUCGCGCGACAUCUCCCUCCAGCCGGCGCGCCCGGCCAGACACACCGCGCUGCUUCUUCUUCCCUUCUUCCCCGCUUCUCUGAAUCCCUGUCUGCUGCUCCUUCUUCCCCGUGCCCCUGCUGCUGCUCGUCUACAACUCUCCCCGCUGCUAUCCUUCUCCAAGCUCGCUUCCUCUCUGAAUCCCUACUGCUGCUGCUCUUCUACUUUCCCCUACCUCGCUGUUGUUCUGCUCCUUCUCCAAGCCCCCACGCUGAUGCUUCUUCUCCUCAACUUCCUGCUGCUGCUCCUCUCCUCCGUCUUGCUGCUGCUCCUUCCCUUGCUCUGCUUCUUCUCCUGCUGCUGCUCUCUUCUUGCCCAUGCCUCUGCUGCUGCUUCUCUUCUCCUACACCUUUUUGCUGCUGCCUUCUCUCCCUUUCUCUCUCUGAAUACUCUGUAAUUUGAGAAGUAAGAAGCUUUGUAAUAUUCAUAUUCUAUAAGUGCAUGUAAUCUGCUAUAUGUUCAGUUCGUACUUGUCAUGUGUUAAUUAGUAUUCUGCUACUGUAUGUGUGAGAUCUCUUAUGUGUUUGUUCUCCUUACUGCAGAAAUUUAUUCAGUUGUCCAUGUGUUAGCUCCAGUACAUGUGCUAUAUAAAUACAUGUGUGUUUUGUGAUGUAAACCAUGUUAGCUAGUUCAUCUCUAUGGUAGUCAGUUGUGAGAUCAUUUAAUUUUCAGUCUCUGUAUUAGCUCUGUACCUGUAAUAUUUGUUGUGACAUGAAGCAUUUUCAUCCCUAUCCAUUAUCUUGUUUCUUCUCUCUGUCAUACACUUGUUAGAUAAAUAUAUGUGUUCUAGUAUUGUUGUUUCCCUUUGGUCAUAUUUGUAUGCUUGUGUCAGUGUCUACUUUCUCAAGUAAAACGAUAAUACCAAAAAGACUGAAAGUACAAUCUGAACCUCCCUUUGUUUCUGUGUCAUUUCCUUUGUUGAUGAUCUUACUUAGUCUAGAUUUAAUGUUCUGCUUUCAUCACCCAAUAUUGUAUUACCUAGCUUUAGCUGAGCAUAGUUGUCGUCGCCUAGUCCCUGAGGAGAACACGACACCCGUAGUUUUGGGCGUAAAAACCCCACUACACUCACAAUAGAUCAUUUUGGCGCCGUUGCCGGGGACUAUUGUCGAGCGAUUGUGUGAGGUUAUAGACUAGGGUUUUCUUGUUUUUCCCUUUGUGCUAUAUAUGUGUGAUAUAUCUCUAACCCCUAACCCUUGUUCAAGUUAUUUUCUCUUUCUUUGCUUUGUCAUUCUGCAGGUUAUUGCAUCUUCUCAGAUAUGGCUUACUAUUCAGAUCAUCAUGCUUAUGCGAGCAACACUACAAAUAGCACGGAAAGUAUUCAAGACCUGAUAAGUAAGAUUUCCCAUCGAUUAGAUGAUUUAGCUCGGCAGCGAGAAGUAGUUUUUGAGGAUAGGCCUAGCUCUUAUGACCCUUAUUCUAGAGGUCAUCCUUAUGUUGCUCCUACAUGCCAUAUUUGUGGAUUUCAGGGCCAUUCACCCGCUGAAUGUCAGCAUGGUUACUCUCACCCUCCAGAUUGUUUUGGCAUGAGCUUCGCUCAAGAGCAUAGCUCAUACCAAAACAAUUACUCACAUGGGUGGCCUGAAAACCCGAAUAUGUCAUAUAGGAACAACAACCCUGAGAUCUCAUCGUUUGCCUCUAGUUAUCCAUUGCAGGGAAUUAGGUAUAAUGAGGAGAGCCACAACCAUGCACCACAACAGUUUUAUUCACCUCCUACUCAUAUACCGCAGCACCAGGAGAUGUGUCCAAUGGAGUUAAAUGGUCCUCCAUUUGGUCAACCAACAACUCCAGCACCUGUUGUGCAAUCUCAUGUGCAAGUGCCCACACAAGAUGAGUUCGAUGACAUAGACAAGCUCACACUUUUGAGUCUCGAGUUCACUUGGAGUGCCGAGGAUGAUCCUAUUAGGAAGGUUAUACUAGAGGAAAUGAAGAAGAUCAAGAGUGGGAAGGAGCUAGUGGAAGAAGUAAGGAAGAUUGAGAAGAACAUCAACGCUGGCAGUACUAUCUCUUCCCUCCUUGAGCUGAGUGUUGCUGGGAUAUCCCUUGAGGUGUGUGAGGUUUAAACACCGUCACAUUCAGCUGAGCAAGAUAGCAAGAGUCCAGAGGAAGAGAGACCUCAGAUUGAAGAUGUACUUGAAGCCAAGGAACAAGAUGAUCUAGAGCUCAAAUGCCCAAGUGAUCAACUUGAAGAUCCAAUGUCUUUCUCUCCCAAAGAAGUAAAAUAAGCUGAUGCAGUUGAAGAUGGAGAACCUGAGAUUCAUUUGCCUAUUAUCAUACAAGAGCGUGAUGUGCCAGGUCUACCUAAUCCUCUUGAUGUCAUGCGUCCGUAUAGUUUCUUUGCUACUACCUUGCAUUACAUGAUUCCAUCACUUAAGAUUGAUUUGAAAACUCAUAUGCUUGGAUACGAUGAUACAUACACUGUUGGCGGCAUUGCUCAUAUUAAUGAUGAUCACACUUAUUUUCCUCAUGCCAAACCUAUGCUUAAUGAUAAAUAUCAUCCUCAUGUUAGUAUUGAGCUUGCUGAUUCCUAUCAUACUCGUCAUGUUCUUUAUAGCUAUGCUUAUGUAAUUGGAUACUCGAUUGAUGACUUGGAGGGUAUUAUCCCUACCGCUUGCAUCGUCUCUUUUGUGUAGUAUUCUUUCAGGUUUUUGUUUCUGCGUCGUUCACUUCAUGCUGACCAGGUUCGAGGUGACAUUCCUUGGGACCCUGGUGGACUCAGAGCAUGGGGAUGAGGAGAAGCAAGGGGGCACACAUGAAGAAGAGUGAAGCUGGAGCAUGCACGAGGAAGCAAAGGAUAAGAGCUGCAGUUGGUGAGAUGAUCUAGCGAAUGCUACACUAUCAAAGCCCGGUUGACCCGCCACUCACCAUUGCGUGGUGGCACGCCGCUUUUCCCUCGAUCGCUGGAGAAAAAUCAUGGCAAGGCACGGUUUUAAAUCGCCCAUGAAAUCUUCAUGAUCGCAUAACAAAUGUUGUUGGAGAGCCUCAACACUAUGAUACGAAAAGUGCGAUAAGGCACAAAACUCUUCUACUACAAAUGAUCAAGUGAUGGAGUCAAGGAGCUGAGCGUGAAGGAAAGAAGUAACCGAGGGGCCAAACUAAAGAUGGGAGGACCAACUUGGGAAGAAAGAAGGAAGAAGGAGGGCCAAUGUGAAAACGUUUAGAUCUGAUCGGGAGGGGAUCAAAAUCCCUAGCUGCAUCUCCAUUGCAAUCGAGCCUGGCAUCUCCAUCUCUCUCCCCCUCACCACUUCUUCUCCCACCUCCGGCCGCCGCCACGGCCAGGCCAUCGUGGCGGCGCGCCUCCGCGACCUCGCUCCACCAUCACCCGCGCCAUCCACCACCCACACCAUCAUCUAUCCAUCACAGCGCCAGCCACCAGUGCCCACCUCGCGCGACAUCUCCCUCCAGCCGGCGCGCCCGGCCAGACACACCGCCGCUGCUUCUUCUUCCCUUCUUCCCCGCUUCUCUGAAUCCCUGUCUGCUGCUCCUUCUUCCCCGUGCCCCUGCUGCUGCUCGUCUACAACUCUCCCCGCUGCUAUCCUUCUCCAAGCUCGCUUCCUCUCUGAAUCCCUACUGCUGCUGCUCUUCUACUUUCCCCUACCUCGCUGUUGUUCUGCUCCUUCUCCAAGCCCCCACGCUGGAAAUCUUUCUCCAAGCCCCUCUUUUCCAAAGCAUAUACAACUGAUCUUGGCAAGUCCGACCCUCUGACCGCCCGCGGACAUAUCCGGAUGCAUCCGUGCAUAGUAAUCAGUCACCCUUUAAAUGUCCGCUUUCAUAGUCGGGCAUCUCAUUAACAAAUCCUUAAGUCCAUACAAUCACAUGCAUCGAAAACUAUCUCUACGAAAAUACAUCUCGAUCCCAUUCAUAGCGUCGGGCUACUUUAUCAUGCAUGCCAUCAGAGUAUCAAAAAUUGACAUGUUGUACUACAACCAUACGUGACAUCGGACUAUUAAAAAUUGACAUGUUCUGUUGGCA